rnacentral:rRNA from 1 species
GCGGCGUGCUUAACACAUGCAAGUCGAACGGAAAGGCCCUGCUUUUGUGGGGUGCUCGAGUGGCGAACGGGUGAGUAACACGUGAGUAACCUGCCCUUGACUUUGGGAUAACUUCAGGAAACUGGGGCUAAUACCGGAUAGGAGCUCCUGCUGCAUGGUGGGGGUUGGAAAGUUUCGGCGGUUGGGGAUGGACUCGCGGCUUAUCAGCUUGUUGGUGGGGUAGUGGCUUACCAAGGCUUUGACGGGUAGCCGGCCUGAGAGGGUGACCGGCCACAUUGGGACUGAGAUACGGCCCAGACUCCUACGGGAGGCAGCAGUGGGGAAUAUUGCACAAUGGGCGGAAGCCUGAUGCAGCAACGCCGCGUGCGGGAUGACGGCCUUCGGGUUGUAAACCGCUUUCGCCUGUGACGAAGCGUGAGUGACGGUAAUGGGUAAAGAAGCACCGGCUAACUACGUGCCAGCAGCCGCGGUGAUACGUAGGGUGCGAGCGUUGUCCGGAUUUAUUGGGCGUAAAGGGCUCGUAGGUGGUUGAUCGCGUCGGAAGUGUAAUCUUGGGGCUUAACCCUGAGCGUGCUUUCGAUACGGGUUGACUUGAGGAAGGUAGGGGAGAAUGGAAUUCCUGGUGGAGCGGUGGAAUGCGCAGAUAUCAGGAGGAACACCAGUGGCGAAGGCGGUUCUCUGGGCCUUUCCUGACGCUGAGGAGCGAAAGCGUGGGGAGCGAACAGGCUUAGAUACCCUGGUAGUCCACGCUGUAAACGGUGGGUACUAGGUGUGGGGUCCAUUCCACGGGUUCCGUGCCGUAGCUAACGCUUUAAGUACCCCGCCUGGGGAGUACGGCCGCAAGGCUAAAACUCAAAGGAAUUGACGGGGCCCCGCACAAGCGGCGGAGCAUGCGGAUUAAUUCGAUGCAACGCGUAGAACCUUACCUGGGUUUGACAUGGAUCGGGAGUGCUCAGAGAUGGGUGUGCCUCUUUUGGGGUCGGUUCACAGGUGGUGCAUGCCUGUCGUCAGCUCGUGUCGUGAGAUGUUGGGUUAAGUCCCGCAACGAGCGCAACCCUUGUUCACUGUUGCCAGCACGUUAUGGUGGGGACUCAGUGGAGACCGCCGGGGUCAACUCGGAGGAAGGUGGGGAUGACGUCAAGUCCUCAUGCCCCUUAUGUCCAGGGCUUCACGCAUGCUACAAUGGCUGGUACAGAGAGUGGCGAGCCUGUGAGGGUGAGCGAAUCUCGGAAAGCCGGUCUCAGUUCGGAUUGGGGUCUGCAACUCGACCUCAUGAAGUCGGAGUCGCUAGUAAUCGCAGAUCAGCAACGCUGCGGUGAAUACGUUCCCGGGGCUUGUACACACCGCCCGUCAAGUCAUGAAAGUUGGUAACACCCGAAGCCGGUGGCCUAACCGUUGUGGGGGAGCCGUCGAAGGUGGGACUGGUGAUUAGGACU